UACGUAGGGUGCAAGCGUUAAUCGGAAUUACUGGGCGUAAAGCGUGCGCAGGCGGCCAUGCAAGACAGAUGUGAAAUCCCCGGGCUCAACCUGGGAACUGCAUUUGUGACUGCAUGGCUAGAGUACGGCAGAGGGGGAUGGAAUUCCGCGUGUAGCAGUGAAAUGCGUAGAUAUCAGGAGGAACACCGGUGGCGAAGGCGGCUAUCUGGCCCUAUACUGACGCUGAGAUACGAAAGCGUGGGGAUCAAACAGG
rnacentral:rRNA from 1 species